rnacentral:rRNA from 1 species
UACGGAGGGGGCUAGCGUUGUUCGGAAUUACUGGGCGUAAAGAGCGCGUAGGCGGCUGGAAUAGUCCGGUGUGAAAUCCACAGGCUUAACCUGUGAAUGCCGCUGGAAACUGUCUGGCUAGAGUCCGGAAGGGGCGAGUGGAAUUCCUGGUGUAGGCGGUGAAAUGCGCAGAUAUCAGGAGGAACACCCAAUGGCGAAGGCAGCUCGCUGGGACGGUAACUGGACGCUGGAGGCGCGAAAAGCCGUGGGGAGCGAACAGG